GGGGAUGUAGCUCAGUGGCAGAGUACCUGCCCAGUAAGCAGAAGGCCCUGGGUUCAAUUCUCAGCACUGCAA
rnacentral:tRNA from 1 species